UGAAGGAGGGGAGUGCUGGGACCUGGCUGGGUUUUCCAGGUGCCACCAGCUGGUUUUCCAGCUUUAAAUCUGUGCUGCCAGACCUUUGUUGGUACCUGUUGUCCUGGGACCCCUCACACACCCUGAUUCCAGCAGGCAGGUCUUUCCCCCAUCACACCUGGGGCAGUUUCUGUGCUCAUCCUCUGCCUGUGCCCACACAUCACAUUCCCUGCUCCAGAAUGAUCCUGUUCAGCACCAACAAACCCACUCAAGAGGUUUUAUUGAAGGUGUGCAGCUAUUGCUGUGAGGACCAAGAAUUUCCUCCAAACAGUUAACAAAAUCUCCAUCUGUAUUUUUGUUCCUUGAAUUUUAAAUGUAUCAGUGCUUGUCUGAUUGAAUGCAAUGAACCACCUGCAAUAGAGAACAGGAAAAGUGUGCAUUCCUCUUACAAGAAGCACCUCACGAAAGAAGAAGUGAAAAGCAAAUAUUUAUCUAAAGAAAGGGCUGCAAAGUGAUGGAGAGAUUUGAGAGAUUGAUCAGUUUUCCUGAAUCAGAGCUCACGCUCCAAGCAGCUGAACAGAUGUUUCUGGAUUAUACUGAGCAAUCAGAGCAUGAAAAAAAAUCCUGUGUAGGAACAGAAACAGGAGAAAAUGAUGGUCCUUGACUCCAGGAAAAUAAACCCAGAACUUGACAGAUUCAGGUGUGAGCUCUGAAAUAUUCUAUAAUCCCUUAUGAACGGUGCAAAAGAUUCACAAAUUCCAACUACUGCAUAAAGUGGCAAAAAUUAACAUCUUCAAGAUUGUCACUGAGAUGGGCAGACAUCUCCCCCCACCCAGCCCCAGCAGGCUGGACUUUGAUGAGCCAGGCUUUAAAAAGGAAUUUUUAAACCUAUUGGAAAAACAUAAUGCAAAUGAUGAAUAUCCUGCAAA